CCCGACCUCGGAUCAGACGAGAUUACCCGCUGAACUUAAGCAUAUCAGUAAGCGGAGGAAAAGAAACUAACCAGGAUUCCCUCAGUAACGGCGAG
rnacentral:rRNA from 1 species